rnacentral:rRNA from 1 species
UACGUAGGGUGCAAGCGUUAAUCGGAAUUACUGGGCGUAAAGGGUGCGCAGGCGGCUGUGCAAGACAGAUGUGAAAUCCCCGGGCUUAACCUGGGAACUGCAUUUGUGACUGCAUGGCUAGAGUUUGUCAGAGGAGGGUGGAAUUCCGCGUGUAGCAGUGAAAUGCGUAGAUAUGCGGAAGAACACCAAUGGCGAAGGCAGCCCUCUGGGACAUGACUGACGCUCAUGCACGAAAGCGUGGGGAGCAAACAGGAUUAGAUACCCUGGUAGUCCACGCCCUAAACGAUGUCAGCUGAUUGUUCGGGAAGCAAUUCCUGGGUAACCAAGCCAACGCGUGAAGCUGACCGCCUGGGAAGUACGGUCGCAAGAUUAAA